rnacentral:rRNA from 1 species
GACGAACGCUGGCGGCGUGCUUAACACAUGCAAGUCGAACGGUGAACUCCGCUUGCGGGGGGAUCAGUGGCGAACGGGUGAGUAACACGUGGGCAACCUGCCCUCAGCUCUGGGAUAACUCCAAGAAAUUGGGGCUAAUACCGGAUAUGACCGCUGACCGCAUGGUCUGGUGGUGGAAAGAUUUAUCGGCUGGGGAUGGGCCCGCGGCCUAUCAGCUUGUUGGUGGGGUAGUGGCCUACCAAGGCGACGACGGGUAGCCGGCCUGAGAGGGUGACCGGCCACACGGGGACUGAGACACGGCCCAGACUCCUACGGGAGGCAGCAGUGGGGAAUAUUGCGCAAUGGGCGAAAGCCUGACGCAGCGACGCCGCGUGGGGGAUGACGGCCUUCGGGUUGUAAACCUCUUUCAGCAGGGACGAAGCGAAAGUGACGGUACCUGCAGAAGAAGCACCGGCCUACUACGUG